GAUGAACGCUGGCGGCGUGCCUAAUACAUGCAAGUCGAGCGAACAGACGAGGAGCUUGCUCCUCUGACGUUAGCGGCGGACGGGUGAGUAACACGUGGAUAACCUACCUAUAAGACUGGGAUAACUUCGGGAAACCGGAGCUAAUACCGGAUAAUAUAUUGAACCGCAUGGUUCAAUAGUGAAAGACGGUUUUGCUGUCACUUAUCGAUUGAUCCGCGCCGCAUUAGCUAGUUGGUAAGGUAACGGCUUACCAAGGCGACGAUGCGUAGCCGACCUGAGAGGGUGAUCGGCCACACUGGAACUGAGACACGGUCCAGACUCCUACGGGAGGCAGCAGUAGGGAAUCUUCCGCAAUGGGCGAAAGCCUGACGGAGCAACGCCGCGUGAGUGAUGAAGGUCUUCGGACCGUAAAACUCUGUUAUUAGGGAAGAACAAAUGUGUAAGUAACUAUGCACGUCUUGACGGUACCUAAUCAGAAAGCCACGGCUAACUACGUG
rnacentral:rRNA from 1 species